rnacentral:rRNA from 1 species
GACGAACGCUGGCGGCGUGCUUAACACAUGCAAGUCGAACGAUGAACCGGAGCUUGCUCUGGGGGAUUAGUGGCGAACGGGUGAGUAACACGUGGGCAACCUGCCCCAGACACCGGGAUAACCAUUGGAAACGAUGGCUAAUACCGGAUACGACCACUUCGGGCAUCCGAUGGUGGUGGAAAGGAUUCUGGUCUGGGAUGGGCCCGCGGCCUAUCAGCUUGUUGGUGGGGUAAUGGCCUACCAAGGCGACGACGGGUAGCCGGCCUGAGAGGGCGACCGGCCACACUGGGACUGAGACACGGCCCAGACUCCUACGGGAGGCAGCAGUGGGGAAUAUUGCGCAAUGGGCGAAAGCCUGACGCAGCGACGCCGCGUGAGGGACGAAGGUCUUCGGAUUGUAAACCUCUUUCAGCAGGGAUGAAGCGAAAGUGACAGCACCUGCAGAAGAAGCACCGGCUAACUACGUGCCAGCAGCCGCGGUAAU